UCAUAUGUGUGUGUCGCUAGGAGAUCAAGAGAAGAAGGGGAAACCCUUUCUACUUCUAAAAUUCAGCAAUUAAAGGAAGAAAUUGAAGCUAAUCACCUGCAUGUUCACCCCAACCUAACCAUCUUAGCAUUCUUAACAUAAGGGAUUAAAGAAGAAAGCUCAAGUCAUUCCGGAACGCAAACAAACCACAACAAAGAUGAGAAUGGUCGAACUCUUGGCAUGAUAAAACUAGUAGAGUUGGUGAAAAGAUGCACAUGAGCGGAAGCUCAUCACAUGGAUGGACGGGGUCAAUCUAGUUUUUGACACGCGCUCCCGAAGGGGGUGGGCUGAAUCGGGACACGAAUCGUUGUUCAUGUAAAUAAUAAGGAUAAGCAUCAUGACAAGAUGACACAAGCACAGAAAGCAAAUGGGUCAAAAGGAGGCGAGGAAGCGAUCACGAAUACGGACGCCUAAUGGAUUAAAGAAGAAAGCUCAAGUCAUUCCGGAACGCAAACAAACCACAACAAAGGUAAAGGAACUUGUUAGCGGCGCUACUUGGAUCGAACACACUCAUGAUGCACGCUUCCGCGAAGAUCCUAGUUUGGUUUAAAUUUUUUUUUUUGGGUUAAACGUUUUUGUUAAAACGGGUCUUUUGUAUGUAAGUUAACCCGGUAGUGGUUAGAUGUUAACUUGUAGUUAAAGACUGGGUUAAUAACUUGUAAAACAUGUAUGGUAUGAACCCUUUUAUAACUAUUUUACUUAGUUAAAAUGAAGUUGAAUGCAGAAUUUUGCUUAUAAAAUUA